rfam:Nicotiana sylvestris Nsyl_contig392740, whole genome shotgun sequence.
AGGGUUAUAGUUAAAUUUAACAUUUGAUUUGCACUCAAAAGAUAUUGAUUAUUCAAUUUACCUUG